UUCCCUAGUAACUGCGAGUGAAGCGGGAUGAGCUCAAAUUUAAAAUCUGGCGUCUUCGGCGUCCGAGUUGUAAUUUAGAGAAGCGUUUUCCGCGCCGGACCGUGUACAAGUCUCCUGGAACGGAGCGUCAUAGAGGGUGAGAAUCCCGUCUUUGACACGGACCCCCGGUGCUCUGUGAUACGCUCUCGAAGAGUCGAGUUGUUUGGGAAUGCAGCUCAAAAUGGGUGGUGAACUCCAUCUAAAGCUAAAUAUUGGCGAGAGACCGAUAGCGAACAAGUACCGUGAGGGAAAGAUGAAAAGCACUUUGGAAAGAGAGUGAAACAGUACGUGAAAUUGUUGAAAGGGAAACGCUUGAAGUCAGUCGCGUCCGCCAGGAUUCAGCCUCACGGUGUACUUCCUGGUGGACGGGCCAGCAUCACUUUCAAUCAUCGGACAAGGUCGAGAGGAAUGUGGCACCUUCGGGUGUGUUAUAGCCUCUUGUCGUAUACGGUGACUGGGAGUGAGGACCGCCUUUUGUAGGAUGCUGGCGUAAUGGCUUUAAACGACCCGUCUUGAAACACGGACCAAGGAGUCUAACAUGCCCGCGAGUGUUCGGGUGGAAAACCCGUGCGCGUAAUGAAAGUGAAAGUUGGGAAGGCUGUCGCGGCCUGCACCGACGCCCGGACUUGAGAUUUAUCGAAGGUUCUGCGGUAGAGCGUGUAUGUUGGGACCCGAAAGAUGGUGAACUAUGCCUGAAUAGGGUGAAGCCAGAGGAAACUCUGGUGGAGGCUCGUAGCGAUUCUGACGUGCAAAUCGAUCGUCAAAUUUGGGUAUAGGGGCGAAAGACUAAUCGAACCAUCUAGUAGCUGGGUUCCUGCCGAAGU
rnacentral:rRNA from 1 species